GUCUACAGCCACGCCACCCUGAACACACCCCAUCUCGUCUGAUCUUGGAAGCUAAGCAGGGUUGGGCCUGGUUAGUACGUGGAUGGGAGAAAAGAUUAUAGACA
rnacentral:rRNA from 1 species